rnacentral:rRNA from 1 species
CCUACGGGCGGCUGCAGUGGGGAAUAUUGGACAAUGGGGGCAACCCUGAUCCAGCCAUGCCGCGUGUGUGAAGAAGGCCCGCGGGUUGUAAAGCACUUUCAGUGAGGAAGAACGCCUGGUGGUUAAUACCGAGCAGGAAAGACAUUACUCACAGAAGAAGCACCGGCUAACUCCGUGCCAGCAGCCGCGGUAAUACGGAGGGUGCGAGCGUUAAUCGGAAUUACUGGGCGUAAAGCGCGCGUAGGUGGGCUGAUAAGCCGGUUGUGAAAGCCCCGGGCUCAACCUGGGAACGGCAUCCGGAACUGUCAAGCUAGAGUGCAGGAGAGGAAAGUAGAAUUCCCGGUGUAGCGGUGAAAUGCGUAGAGAUCGGGAGGAAUACCAGUGGCGAAGGCGGCCUUCUGGACCGACACUGACACUGAGGUGCGAAAGCGUGGGUAGCAAACAGGAUUAGAUACCCUGGUAGUC